GACGUAGGGCGCAAGCGUUGUCCGGAUUUAUUGGGCGUAAAGAGCUCGUAGGCGGCCUGUCGCGUCGACCGUGAAAACCCGCAGCCCAACUGCGGGCUUGCGGUCGAUACGGGCAGGCUGGAGUUCGGUAGGGGAGACUGGAAUUCCUGGUGUAGCGGUGAAAUGCGCAGAUAUCAGGAGGAACACCGGUGGCGAAGGCGGGUCUCUGGGCCGAUACUGACGCUGAGGAGCGAAAGCGUGGGGAGCGAACAGG
rnacentral:rRNA from 1 species